rnacentral:lncRNA from 1 species
AAUCUAAAAAAUAAGCCCCGUUUUUCCAUCUUGGACGAGUUUCUACAUCUUAUAACGGUUUUACCAAAAUUUUCUUCGAAUUUGCACUUUGGCCCCUAAAUUUUUCGGAUCGUGAACAGUUCACCGCGGUGGCGGCGUGGAUCGCGGUAGAGUGCGGUGAACACUGCCUGGGCCUAUUUUUGUGUUUUGUCUCCGCGCUCUGCUCUGCUGUCCACCACAGUCACAGUGGACUUUUGCCCAGUCAUUUCUUUUGCUCUUUUAUGUACGGGUACUUCUUGAGUGGGUGUUUUCUACACAUUAUUGCCUUCAAACACUUUAUGUUGCUUCCUCACAUGUAACAUUCCCUGCGAAACCAAUUAGCACAAUUUAAAGCAUUUUAUUGGCAAAUUACCUUAUAAAACAACAGCAAAGUAUGAGCAAUUAAGGUGUAUCAACUAGCUAGCCAAUUAUCAACACCCCACACUUAAAUUAUUGCUAGCGCUCGAGUAAUUCACCAUACUCCAUCAAUAUUCCUUCCCUGUGCUUUUCCCUCAACGACUCACACCAUGAACAUUUUACAAAAGAUACACCUAGUAGUGAGCAAACUUUUACCUUAAGAAUCAAAUCUUUCGCACCCCGUAACAUUUGCACUUACUCAAACCACUCUACAUAAGAGUCAAGACGUAUCUUUCUUUGUGAAUUACAUACCCUCACAUCACACAAGAGAGUAGUUCCAUACAUAAUGAUAGUGAUAACAAUUAGGAACUAAAAUAGACAUAAUUCGCUCACUCUCUAAAAAGAUCAUUCACAUGCUACAUAGAUGUAACAUAAGCUUGCUCGUCGUGUACUCGACUAAUCAAGCUCAUUCAAUCUUGGAUCAGUUAGGACUUUAUUUGGUUGUAAUGUAGGCUAUGGGACGGGUAGGAUACAUUUA